AUUGAACGCUGGCGGCAGGCCUAACACAUGCAAGUCGAGCGGAGCGGCGGAAGGGGGAGUAAUGCCUAGGAAUCUGCAUGGUAGUGGGGGAUAACGCCCGGAAACGGGCGCGAAUACCGCAUACUAUCAGAUGAGCCUAGGCCGGAGUAGCUAGUUGGUGGGGUAAAGGCCUACCAAGGCGACGACCCGUAACUGGUCUGAGAGGAUGAUCAGUCACACUGGGACUGAGACACGGUCCAGACUCCUACGGGAGGCAGCAGUGGGGAAUAUUGGACAAUGGGCGAAAGCCUGAUCCAGCCAUGCCGCGUGUGUGAAGAAGGUCUUCGGAUUGUAAAGCACUUUAAGUUGGGAGGCGUUACCAACAGAAUAAGCACCGGCUAACUUCGUGCCAGCAGCCGCGGUAAUUC
rnacentral:rRNA from 1 species